UCUAAAAGGCCAAGACAGAAUGAUAGAGGGCAAAAGAAAUGUCAAGAGAGUUUGAGCAGUGCAUGGAGCCUUGAAAUAUGUGGCACUUGCAUUCUACAUAGAGGAAACAGUCUGAACUUCCUUCUUGACCAUGAUGUUGGUGCAGCGCAGUGAAUGCGGUUCAAGAGCAGCUCCCUAGGAAAGCCAUUAACGGAAGAUGGAGGCAUAUGGAGUGAAAAUCAUCUAGACUCCCAAACACCGAUUGAAAGAAGAGAUUGAACUACCUCACUGACAUUCAUGCUAUAAGACAGAAGUCUAUGAAUCUUCUAGAUCACUUCACCUUUUGGUGCGUGCAUUCAAAACUUUCUUCCUCUUCAGUUG
rnacentral:lncRNA from 1 species